GCUGUUUUCUAGUGAGCAUUAAAUAUAUUUUUAAGUCACUUAACACAGUACUUGACACACAGUAAGUGAUCAGUAAAUAAUGGAAGUGCUGUCUAUUGCUCUUACUACAUCAUUUAUUCCUCACAAUGACUCCAGGAGACAGAGUUCUCUACCUGCUAUUUACAGGAGAGAUACCACCCCCAGUGUCUGUUAGAAUUGGGCUGAGAUACACCCUAGGUAUUGCAAUUUUUAAAAAGCUGUUUAGAAAAUUCAAAUGGGAAGCUAAAAUAGAGAAGAACAGCUCUAAAAGUAAUAGAGACAACCAAUGAAAGAACAAACAAAAUAGUCAUCACAACAUCAAGCUUCAACUGAGCUAUGAACUGUGGAGAUGGGGAGUUGCAGGAGAGACAGAGCCCUGCUUUAAAUCAGUUCCAUGAGGUUGGCAAGAUUGUUGUCCUUUUACAUAUGAGACAAUCAAGGCUCAGAUGGACUAAGAACCUUGCUCAAGUUCAUGCAGACGGUAAGGCAGGAUUCCAACCUAGGCAAUCUGACUCAAUACACCACCCAAUCCUACCUACUUUUGACUACUCAUAAAGGAAACAAAAUAUAUUAAGGUAUAAGCCACCUCACAUGAGAGACCUGUGUUACUGAUGAUCCUGUUUCUGUAGAAGCCUGGCUAUUUACUUUUACAUAGGACUUUGCUGUUUGUGAAAUGUUUCCACAUGUGCAAUGUCAUUUACUCCGGUUCUCACAGCAGUAUAGGAAGUAAAUGAGUCCAUAUCUUCAACACAGAAGGAACUGAGGGCAGGAGAAACUCAGUCACUUUAAUUCCCUAGCCAUCAAAUGACAACAUUUUGACCAUAAUCUGGAGGCCCUACAUCCAAGUCCUACCCUCUUUUGAUGAUGACAUGCUGUGCUAAUAUACUACCAGUGGCUAUUUUAUUUGCAUUUCUGUUUCAGUCUGCAAGGUUAGGAACAUAUGGAAUACAGUUUUAUAAUUAGGACAGCAGGCAUUCUUAAAAUGCAUAUAGGCUUAAAAUAUCACUCUAAAG
rnacentral:lncRNA from 13 species